rnacentral:rRNA from 1 species
AGCUUAACUUCGAAACUGCAUUACGAUACUGCCGUGCUUGAGGACUGGAGAGGAGACUGGAAUAUACGGUGUAGCGGUGAAAUGCGUAGAUAUCGUAAGGAAGACCAGUGGCGAAGGCGGGUCUCUGGACAGUUCCUGACGCUGAGGCACGAAGGCCAGGGGAGCAAACGGGAUUAGAUACCCCGGUAGUCCUGGCAGUAAACGGUGCACGUUUGGUGUGGGAGGAUUCGACCCCUUCUGCGCCGGAGCUAACGCGUUAAACGUGCCGCCUGGGGAGUACGGUCGCAAGAUUAAAACUCAAAGAAAUUGACGGGGGCCCGCACAAGCGGUGGAGUAUGUGGCUCAAUUCGAUGCAACGCGAAGAACCUUACC